rnacentral:lncRNA from 1 species
UCUAUUCUUCAUACCUGAGGUGCCGAGCUUUCCGAAUGAGUCUUUGUUCUUCAAUUUGAAUCUUUUCUUCAAACCUCCGUGAUCAACUCUUCAAGACUCCAUUCAACUUUACGAAAUCCGCCAACAUAUAAAAUCCUUAACACGUCCUAAGCGUCGCAAUCAAUACAAUAUACAAAUGUUCCAACCAAGAACUAAUAUCAAUCAAGAUUGCAUAAGGAAGUAUCAAUAACAUAAAACUAACUGCUAUUACAAGCAUACAUUUCUUACAACAUUUUACAUCACAGUUUUUCUUUUACAUUCGUUGACUUCCAAAUACAAUCACAUUAUUACAUUUUAGUUCACUGUUCUCUAGUCCCCUAAGCUAAACUGUCUC